rnacentral:rRNA from 1 species
CGGCAGCACGGGAGCUUGCUCCUGGUGGCGAGCGGCGGACGGGUGAGGAACACGUGGGAAUCUACCUAUUGGUGGGGGAUAACUUGGGGAGACUCAAGGUAAUACCGCAUUAUCCCUACGGGGGAAAGCAGGGGACCUUCGGGCCUUGCGCCGAUAGAUGAGCCCGCGUCGGAUUAGCUAGUUGGUAGGGUAAAGGCCUACCAAGGCGACGAUCCGUAGCUGGUCUGAGAGGAUGAUCAGCCACACUGGGACUGAGACACGGCCCAGACUCCUACGGGAGGCAGCAGUGGGGAAUAUUGGACAAUGGGGGAAACCCUGAUCCAGCCAUGCCGCGUGUGUGAAGAAGGCCUUAGGGUUGUAAAGCACUUUCAGUGGGGAGGAAGGCUUCUGGCUAAUAACCGGGAGUACUUGACGUUACCCACAGAAGAAGCACCGGCUAAUUUCGUGCCAGCAGCCGCGGUAAUACGAAAGGUGCGAGCGUUAAUCGGAAUUACUGGGCGUAAAGCGCGCGUAGGCGGCUAUUUAAGUCUGAUGUGAAAUCCCCGGGCUCAACCUGGGAAUUGCAUCGGAUACUGGGUAGCUAGAAUGCGGUAGAGGGGGGUGGAAUUCCAGGUGUAGCGGUGAAAUGCGUAG